rnacentral:misc_RNA from 1 species
UCCUCAUCACUACCAUAAGUAGUUCUGACAUGCUUCCAGUACACGAAGUUCGGUCGAAUGAAGUUCCUGUCACUUUUUUUCAAUAAACAUGGGUCGAAUGGGAAGAACAUAUCCAGUCUCUCCAGCCCACCAAAAUCCCUGGAAAAAUCUGAUUCCAGCAAAUCUUCGAACAUGAAUGUUUCAGAUGGGGUGAACAAACGAGCAGCUUUUGCCUGUUUAAGAAACUCUUCUACAAUAGAUGGCAGGCACACCUUCAAGGGGCCCAAUUUAUGCUUCAAGAUUCGCUCUAUGGGCAUGAGAAGAAGCUGUGAUUUGAGCCAUGGGACAUCCACUAUUGACCUCAUACAAAAGCAGAGAACAUACAUGAUGGCCUGACAUCCAGAAUAGAAAACUCUAUGCGCUUUUGGGUUUACAUCACCAUCCUGGGUUUUACAAUACUCCAAACACCAAUCCACCAACCUUUUCAACAUGCUAGCGACAAAAGCAGUGGACAGAAACUUCGCACGAGCCAAAUAACUAGCAAGAUAAGCCACAGCACUCAUCCUGGUAAGUGGGUUGUCACCGAAAACAAACCUAUCCACAAGCAUUAUGGCAAAUUUCACACCACAGUUCUCAGGAUCCAGUGCACAAGCAUAGAACAUGACAAACUGAGCAAACUUUGACUUGUAAGUGUUCAGGAUAGUUAGCAUAAAUGAGUCCAGGAGAGUUUCAAAUACCUCACUCAAACGCUUGUUGUUUGCACAAGAUUCAAGAUGCUCAAAUACUUGCACCAUCAUGCUAUCCAAUAAAUCAGCAACGAUGUUUUUACCCAAGCUCCUCUGACUUAAAGUUGCAGGAAGCUCGCCAUUAUCAAUCUCUUCAUCGCCAUCAUCAUCAGCAGCAGCAAUAUCAUCCACAUCUUCUAGCUCAAUGGCAAAGAUGCCUUUACAAGAGUCAUCUCGUAAAAUGUCAUCCCAACCAAUAGACACAUCCAACUCUAUCAGCAUAUCAACCACUGCCAUAAGCAUCCUGCUCCCAACAAAUUCCCUAAUUGAACCGCUCUCCAAUCUCAACAUGUUCUCCACAUAGAUCUCAGUUCGAUACUUCAGUCGAUCCUUCUCAAGACUCUUUUUAAAAAAGGUUGUUGGCAUCCUAUGGACAACUAUUGAUGACAAUCUCAAUGCCGCCAUAGGUACCAGAGUAGCAAUAUCUUCCAGAGCUGUAUGCACCCGAGAAAGAACUUGUUCCUUUUUCUUCUGACCACGAGGUUGCUUUAGCGCAUCAACAAAAUACAUUGGUGGCAUGAAAUUUCCCACAAGCAUAUCCAAGCAUGAAUCAAUAUAUUUUCCAUUUGAAGCAGCCAAGGAAAUAAUCAAUUCAAGCAACGCAUCCAUCACAUCAGGUCCAUAGCUCCACAUGCUCAUUCCAAAAAUAGAAUUAAGAAGAGAGUCAUGGUGAACAUUGUCUAUAUAAGAAACUGCCCCAGAUAGCGCCUUUAGACUGGUCACAAGAAGGGCCACCUCAUCAGGGGCAAGACGUUGCGAAUGAUGCAUUACCCCUACAAGCUGGUGGUAACUGUCACUAUCUCCCGAUUGGACGGAAACAAGGGCAUCCCUGACAUGAUAAACUAGCUCAGAAUCACUGAAAUUAACAUCCUCCAUCUCCUGAACCUCCCCGUUGAAGUGAUGGGCUAAUUCCACACCCAUAAGGCUAAUUUUUGCGUAGAUAAUCACUCUUUGUUGUCUGGUUUGGCAAAGAGCUGCGCUAGUUGAGCGAUUAAACUAGCUUAAACGUUUGAGGCUUGAGUUCGAACUAAGGUACUGGAGAAAGGCGGCUGGCUCUUCUUCUUCUUGCGGAGGUUGUAGGCCGCACCGCGAAGAAGAAUAGCAAACGAGGGUUUUGAG